rnacentral:tRNA from 2 species
AGUUUUAUAGUUUAAUAAAAACAUUAAUUUUGUAAAUUAAAAAUAUACUUAUCUAUUAAAACUU